AUGCUGGGUGGAGGAGGAAUGCCCCGGACAGUGCCUCUUCUCUCCCCGGGGCUUCUUCACAGGAGUGUUCUACCAAAGGUCUCGUCCCAGAGCGGCCAUGGCAGAGCCAAAUUUGGCAAGAGAGAAGGCUCAUCUCAUGGUGUCCUAGCAAGGGAAGAUAGUGAACUACGCAGGGGAAAUGCUGAAAUUAUCCAAACAUCAGGGGUGGAAUCAUCAUCCACAUGUGCGAGCAAGAUAUCUGGGUCUGGGACUGCAAUGAAAGAGUGCCCACCUCUUUGUAGACAAAGACAGACUGAAGAAUGGAGGAUAGCAAAGGGAGGACUUCCAAUGGAGGAGACAAGAAUGGCCGCAUCUCCUUCUCUGGGCAUUCGGAGCCUCUCUGGGGCAGAGCUUCGAGCAUAUUUUCUCAAGCCACAACGAACUGCCUCAGCUUCUUCUUCUAUAGAAAAGAAAACGCAAAAAUUCUGCGAUUUGAUGAAGAAUGGAAAUGGCUUGUCUAAGAAACUGCAGGGUGUGUCCACGAAAAAUAAACUGCUGGGUGGAGACUGA
rnacentral:rRNA from 1 species